AUCCAGCGAACUUUCCAGAGAUGGAUUGGUGCCUUCGGGAACGCUGAGACAGGUGCUGCAUGGCUGUCGUCAGCUCGUGUUGUGAAAUGUUGGGUUAAGUCCCGNAACGAGCGCAACCCUUAUCCUUUGUUGCCAGCGAUUCGGUCGGGAACUCAAAGGAGACUGCCGGUGAUAAACCGGAGGAAGGUGGGGAUGACGUCAAGUCAUCAUGGCCCUUACGAGUAGGGCUACACACGUGCUACAAUGGCGCAUACAAAGAGAAGCGACCUCGCGAGAGCAAGCGGACCUCAUAAAGUGCGUCGUAGUCCGGAUCGGAGUCUGCAACUCGACUCCGUGAAGUCGGAAUCGCUAGUAAUCGUGGAUCAGAAUGCCACGGUGAAUACGUUCCCGGGCCUUGUACACACCGCCCGUCACACCAUGGGAGUGGGUUGCAAAAGAAGUAGGUAGCUUAACCCUCGGGAGGGCGCUUACCACUUUGUGAUUCAUGACUGGGGUGAAGUCGUAACAAGGUAAGCGUAGCGAG
rnacentral:rRNA from 1 species